rnacentral:rRNA from 1 species
UUCCUACGGGGGGCAGCAGUCGGGAAUAUUGCGCAAUGGAGGAAACUCUGACGCAGUGACGCCGCGUAUAGGAAGAAGGUUUUCGGAUUGUAAACUAUUGUCGUUAGGGAAGAUAAAAGACUGUACCUAAGGAGGAAGCCCCGGCUAACUACGUGCCAGCAGCCGCGGUAAUACGUAGGGGGCAAGCGUUAUCCGGAUUUACUGGGUGUAAAGGGUGCGUAGGUGGCAGGGCAAGUCAGAUGUGAAAGCCCGGGGCUCAACCCCGGUACUGCAUUUGAAACUGUCCAGCUGGAGUGCGGGAGAGG